GACGUAGGGCGCGAGCGUUGUCCGGAUUUAUUGGGCGUAAAGAGCUCGUAGGCGGCUUGUCGCGUCGACUGUGAAAACUCGGGGCUCAACUCCGAGCUUGCAGUCGAUACGGGCAGGCUAGAGUUCGGUAGGGGAGACUGGAAUUCCUGGUGUAGCGGUGAAAUGCGCAGAUAUCAGGAGGAACACCGAUGGUGAAGGCAGGUCUCUGGGCCGAUACUGACGCUGAGGAGCGAAAGCAUGGGGAGCGAACAGG
rnacentral:rRNA from 1 species